rnacentral:lncRNA from 1 species
CAACAACUCCUACACUCUCCACCGUCGUUUCGUCGUGACAACUCCAUUUCCUCGUAACUCGGGUCACUGCAAAAAUCACCUCUGUCCUAUCGUUGGUUCAUUUUCCCUGCCGCACCAACUUAAUGUUAUGUAAAACUAAAACCAUAUAUGUGUUAAAUUGACUUAUAUAUGUAGCAGAUUAGAUUAGAAAACUUGUACACAAAACAUAAAGAGAGAUUCUGAUAUGUAUCACACGUACUUUAUAAUUUUUAAUAUAUAUUUUUUUUGUUAUAUGAAAUAAGGGUAUAAUGAGCAGUGAAUAAAAAUAAAAAAUUGAUACAUAUAAAAAAAAUAUCAAAUUAUUAUAUCAAUAUUAUACAUAAAUUUCUUAUAGGUUAAAAUAUAUCAAAAUAAUGUAUCAAUGAUGCACGUAUAAACUAUAUCACAUAAUUAAAUAAAAUUGAAAUGUAUCAAUUGAAAAAUGCACAAAUUGAAUGAGGGUGGUGAAGCCAUUAAAUAACCAAAAAACAUAUGCAUAUCCUUAAAUUAUGUAAUGGUACACAAGUUCUUCAUAUGUAUCUAAAUAUAUAUGUAUCAAAUACAUUUAUCUGAUACAUAUAUUUAAUACAUAUGAUUGAUACAUAUGUACAUAUGUUUUGGUACUUAUGAUUGAUACAUUAAUCUACUACUUUUAUCGUUCGUUCGUACCACCACCGUCAUCUUGCCAUUUUUAUCAAAAAUCUAUCAAAUGAUUAUUUAAUUUCUCCUCUUUUCCUUAUUGGAGGCUUAAAAGUUGAAAAAAGGAAAUUGAUAAAGAAUUCAAAAAAAGACAAUGAAAUUAGUGAAAUCGAUAUGAUAUCAACUUGAUGGAUGAGUGUAGUUGUUGGAGGUUGAAGAGAAAAAGAUGCAGAAAUGGGGAGAGAUUUUCGAAAUUUUUGGGGUGAAAUAAUUUGAAAAAUCAAGAAACGUGAUUUGGGACAUCAAUGAUGGAGUGUAAAGAGGCUGAGAAGAUUGAGUAUAUUUAUAAAAAGCAAAACUGUACAAAAUGAAAUUUUAAGUAAUUUUUUAAAACAUAAGAAAUUUUAUGUAUUAAUGCCUAAUAAGUUUAUGAAUUUGUAUGACUUUAUCUUAAUAACUUUGUAUCACUAUCAAUUCGAUUAUAAUGCAGAAACUAAAGGAGGAAGGCAGAGAGACUUAUGGAGUAGCCAUUAGUGUUGCUGGAUUUAAUACUUUCGUUUUAGUAAUUCUUUAAUUUUAACUUUUCACAUUCUACAUUUAAGAGCACAAGAUUAAAUAAUAUUUUAAUAUAUUUAAUUUAUUUUUAAUUUAAGACCACAAAAUUUAAAAAUCUAUUUACAUUUUUAAAUUUCGUAUCAAAUCAAAAUAUUCGAUUCUUUUUCAAAUGAAAAAAUAGUUGUUAGUAUAUUCUUUUGAGUUUUGACCCAUCAGCGUCAUUAUUCUAUUUGGAUUUUCCGUUUUGAUUUUUGAAUCUUUAAAAUAGAUUUAUUGGAAGAACAAUAAUUAUGAGCAAAGUACCUUUCUUUCAUUAUCAACCAUGAAUCAUCUAUUAUGUUUAUACUCGGUAAUCAUUAUCAUUUCUAGGACAAACAAAAUUUAUUGUUUGCUUAAUGCAAGGCCGGUUUAAUGGGGAGACCAUUGAAGCAAUAAUUUAGGGGGCAGCUCAUGUCCUUUUCUUCAUAACAUUAAGCCCCCCAAUAUAUUUAUAUUUUAUAAAUAAUAUAUUAUAUUAGCAUAUUAUAAAAUUAUUAUUUCAUUGUUUCAACUUCUAUAGAUGAUUCGACCUUCUAAGUGAUACAAUAACGACAAGAAGAACACAAAGUCUUGGUUUGGCGACACCAAACUCGAGAAUGAACAACAACAACAAUGAAAUAGGUAGAUAGAUAGAUACAUACAUACAUACAUACAUACAUACAUACAUAGAUACAUACAUACAUACAUACAUGCAUGCAUGCAUACAUGCAUAGAUAGAUAGAUAGAUAGAUACAUACAUACAUAGAUAGAUAGAUAGAUAGAUAGAUAGAUACAUACAUACAUACAUACAUACAUACAUACAUACAUACAUACAUACAUACAUACAUGCAUGCAUGCAUACAUGCAUAGAUAGAUAGAUAGAUAGAUACAUACAUACAUAGAUAGAUAGAUAGAUAGAUAGAUAGAUACAUACAUACAUACAUACAUACAUACAUACAUACAUACAUAGAUACAUAGGUAACUUGACAUACAAAUGUACAAACACUAUGAACCUAAGUGUAUAUUGAACACAAAGAUCCAAGAAUUCAUGCAAGUAACACCAACCUCUACGGUGACCUCAAGGGAACGGGAUUCCCAAGCAACCAAGGUUUCAAAACUAGCACCAACACAAGUGAUAUCCACACUUGUUUACAAGGAAUCCACCUUGCAAGCAUCUCUCUCUAGAGCUC